GAAAUGCGAUAAGUAGUGUGAAUUGCAGAAUUCAGUUAAUCAUCGAAUCUUUGAACGCACAUUGCGCCCCUUGGUAUUCCAUGGGGCAUGCCUGUUCGAGCGUCAUUUGUACCCUCAAGCUCUGCUUGGUGUUGGGUGUUUGUCCCGUCUCCGCGCGUGGACUCGCCCCAAAGUGAUUGGCAGCCGGCGUACUGGUCCCGGAGCGCAGCACAUGUCGCGCAAACGAGUGCCUUGGUACGGCGGCGUCCAUAAGCCCCUCUCUCACGCUCUUGACCUCGGAUCAGGUAGGGAUACCCGCUGAACUUAAGC
rnacentral:misc_RNA from 1 species